GAUGACGAAACCAGACAGGGUUUUGAACACUGUGUUUGCCUUUAUCUUGACACCCAAGGGAUUUAAAACAUGCUGUGCAUAUCAGUUAACGUAAGGGCUAUUUCACCUACUACUAUGUUUUAGAUAUGCAAGUUAUCCAAGGUCAGUUGAUAUCUCUCAUUGGAAUAAAUGCCAAAUGCUUGUGCAACUCUGAACAUUAGGCAAUUAUGUUGAAUUGUUUAACAUUGUUGUGGAAUUUUUUCCUCUGGGUAAGAGUUUCUGAUUCUGAGCUACUUGAAAAAUUCAGGUUCUUCUGUUUGUAAUAAUAUUUAUGUCCUGGUGGCUAUUCUGGUAUUUGCUUACAAAUUCUCAUAGGCAAAAUGAUUUCCUUUUGUUGCUUGGAAGUACUAAAUCUUGUAGUUGUUUACUGUGCUUAUUUAACAGAAUGGAAUUCAAUAAUUUGAAAUUUUGCUGAUCAUUGUUGUGGAAUUUUGUCCUCUGGGUUUCAUAAAGCUAUUACCUUUUCGAUUUUACAGUGGUUGGCAUUGGAGUUGAGGUGUGUCAUUCCUGUUUUGCUACUGAAUAAGACAUGUUGCAUACCACUGAGCCAAACCAUAAACUUGUUUUUGCAUGGAAUCAGUAGUUCUAUAUAGUAAUUAGAACCUCCCUGUCCAAAUAUAUUGCCUGCUUUCGAGACAGCACAGUUCUGGUCUUAGAAUUCACUGAAAAGGUUUUGGGCUGAUACAAAUCAAGUGUCACCUUUAUUGUGAAUUCGCUUUCUAUCUCUGUGCAUUGUCGUAAACAGGUGAUCCUACCAGACAGGGUUUUGAAGACAGUGUUUGCCUUUAUCAAGACACACAAGCUACUAAGUGAUCAGUAAGCUCUAUAAUUUCUAAUAAAGUGGACUUUUAAAAAAAACUUACUUGUUUGACUCACCCAAACUAGAUCAGAUAACGAGCAAGAUUCUCUACAGAACAAUGAAUGGAUUGUUUGAUGUUAUAGCUAGGGAUCCAUUUCCAUGUUACAAGUUGUAGACUGUCAAUGCUGGUUGCAAAAUAUGAUCUAUUAAUGCAA